rnacentral:rRNA from 1 species
GACGAACGCUGGCGGCGUGCUUAACACAUGCAAGUCGAACGGAAAGGCCCUGCUUUUGUGGGGUGCUCGAGUGGCGAACGGGUGAGUAACACGUGAGUAACCUGCCCUUGACUUUGGGAUAACUUCAGGAAACUGGGGCUAAUACCGGAUAGGAGCUCCUGCUGCAUGGUGGGGGUUGGAAAGUUUCGGCGGUUGGGGAUGGACUCGCGGCUUAUCAGCUUGUUGGUGGGGUAGUGGCUUACCAAGGCUUUGACGGGUAGCCGGCCUGAGAGGGUGACCGGCCACAUUGGGACUGAGAUACGGCCCAGGCUCCUACGGGAGGCAGCAGUGGGGAAUAUUGCACAAUGGGCGGAAGCCCGAUGCAGCAACGCCGCGUGCGGGAUGACGGCCUUCGGGUUGUAAACCGCUUUCGCCUGUGACGAAGCGUGAGUGACGGUAUGGGUAAAGAAGCACCGGCUAACUACGUG